AGGUGCAGCAAUACAUGCUGACGAGCGGCGGACGGGUGAGUAACGCUUGGGAAUCUGCCUAUCAGUGGGGGACAACCCGGGGAAACUCGGGCUGAUACCGCAUACGAUCUACGGAUGAAAGCCGGGGACCGCAAGGCCUGGCGCUAAUAGAUGAGCCCAAGUCGGAUUAGCUAGUUGGUAGGGUAAAGGCCUACCAAGGCGACGAUCCAUAGCUGGUCUGAGAGGACGAUCAGCCACACUGGGACUGAGACACGGCCCAGACUCC
rnacentral:rRNA from 1 species